AGAUGCAGGUACCAUUAAUUAGUCCAGUAAGAUAAAACAUCUGAUUAUUUCAAUUAAUGCUCAACUAUGCCUCGCAACUGAUCUACUUUGUUAUCAAAGCUUGAGUUUUGAAGUAUAAUAUGGUUUGAGAAGAACAAUAUUGGCAGGCCAAGCAUAUAGCCAAAUAUGCUGUGAUAAUGUAUUAGGUUUACUGCACAGAAACGUAUAAAGUUAAGUCAUAUUUUUUAAAUAAUCUGAGCUGUAAAUUUCGGCUUGCUUUUUGACUGCGAAAGUGAUCGUGACAGAAAAUAUGGGUGACAACUUAUCCCUACUCCAUAGGGGUGUCCCUCUGUUUGCAUUCAAUUUCUGCAUUUGUAAGCAGUGUUUCAUUUGGAACUUGGGAGGGUCCUAAUAAUCAUGUUUGAUAUGUUGAUUGUAUAUUGAACAAAAAUCAAAACGCAACUUUGUAAAGUGUUGGUCCCAUGUUUCAUGAGCUGAAAUAAAAUAUCCCCGACAUUUUCCAUAGGCACAAAAAGCUUAUUUUUGCAAUUGGCAUGCUGACUGCAGGACUGUUCACCAGAGCUGUUGCCAGAGAAUUGAAUGUUAAUUUCUCUACCAUAAGCCACCUCAACGUAAUUUUAUAAUAUGUUGUACGCCCAACCAGCCUCACAACCGCAGACCAUGUGUAUGGUGGUGUUUGGGGGAGCGGUUUGCCGAUGUCAACGUUGUGAACAGAGUUUUUAUGAAGGAAAACACCUUUUUCUUGAUAAAAAUUUGGCACAUAGAAUUGACUUUACUAUUGUACGGAAAGAUGGCAUGUGAUAGUUGUGUGUUUCAGGUCCGAUGUGGGAAGUGUGGAAACGGACUGGGUCAUGAGUUUGUGGGAGACGGGCCAAAGAAAGGGCUCUCACGUUUCUGAAUAUUCAGCAGCUCACUGAAGUUCGUCCCUAAAGAUAAGGUAGAUGGACAGUAAGGUGAGCAGCAGGGGUAUGGAGUCACAGUGAUGGUAGAGCAGUAGGAUUGUCUGGAGUCUCUGUGCUGCUGAAGGUGUGCAGGACAGUGGAUGAAGUGUCCUGGAAUAAAGCCCACUUUGGGACCUCCAGGACACUGAUGGUCAAUGUCUUCGCUGGACAAGGACAGAGAAACUCCUCCCAAAUAGUCAGCUACAUUAUGCAAUAAUACACCAUCAUAAUAUAACAAUGAUACACAAUCAUAACACAGACAAGUACAAGGAGUUACACCAUAACACAAAGAUAGUCUGUCACUUAAUCAUUGUUUUAUUUUUUAUCUUAACAUUGUCAGUCAAAUGGGGGAUCACUAUGUAGCCUUCAUAGUGGUGAAUGUAACUUCAAGAUGUCCUCAUUUAUAGUAGUGAAAGCAAACAAAAGUGGCUCAAUCUACCAAUGUAUGUUAAUCAGUUCUAUCAAUGAUGUUAUGAGCCUCUUAAAGAUAGACAGUGAUGUAAAUAAAAUCUCAAUGGUCUUAACGGUCACAAUGUAUAGUAUGCAAACAAAAAGAUAAAUUAAACUGAGAAAUAAAGAUGUACUUUUAUAGAAGAUUACAUUAUUUGUUGGUUUAUAUUUUAUAUUAAAUUAUGAAAAUAGUUUUUCUACCAUCUUUAUGACAAACACAUCAAUCAUGCCAGUAUUUUUCUGUACUCACCUCGAGAUUAGCAGACCUGAAAAUACUAAAUUGUUAGUAUAUACUCUAUCAUUAUACAACUAAUCUUGUUCCACAUCUUUCACAGUGAGUUUUGAGAAAAAAAUAAUGCAUUAUACUCCCACCUUGUGGCAGACAUGAGACCACGCAUCAGGACGGGCUUGUCAGUUGGUCUGGCAAUGAAUGUGGGCUAGACUCACAAAACCCUUCAAAAAUGCUAACCUGAUAUUUGUGCCUCUAACUUUAUCACUCAUCAUUAUUUGCAAUUCAUUAAGGACUAUCUGUAAUCAUGGUAGCAUCCACUUUAAUGUAGAAUUGUUUAGAAAUAUAUUAUAUUCUUAUUUACAAUAAAUGUGACUUAAAAAUGA